UCCGUCCUCUCUGAUUGACAGCCUGAACCAUCAGCCUUCCAGUACAGCUUAUUCUGCCCUGUUACAAACAUUGAGGUGAAAAAACCAAAUUAUUUUAUUAAAAAUAAACAAUUUUAACAGAAUAGAUUUUCCCCAAAACACUAAACAAACGUAUUAAUAAAUGCCCAGAGCCUGAAGUUCACUUGUUGGUGCCAACUUUUACGGAUGCCCUGCUUUCAAAAUCUUUUCUUCCACAAGAAGGGAGUUCCCAUCAGAAUUAGUUAACAUCCCAACUGCCAUCAAUACUUUCCCUAUUUUUACAGCUAGCAAUCCAACUGUGAACACACUGAAGCAAUUCUGUGGUUACAAAAAAUCAUCAAUAAAAACUUAUGAGGUCUACUUUAUUGUAUCCUACAAGGUUGCCCUUUAAAAAGGGGGAAAAUUCUGCACUAUCUGGAACACAGCUAGUACAGAUAGCAGUGAGAUACCUAUUGCCUUUAGAAUAAAGUAGUUAGACAUAUUGCCAUUUUCCUUUAUGCUGUUAAAUGGUCCAGCUGCUGACUCUGCUCUCGCUGAUGGACCAUUUAGUAAUGCUGCUGACUGUUCUUAACAUCAGCAUAACAUUCACAUUGAUUCUUAGUUAUCCAGUAGUAAAAUUAUCCAGCUGCUCCUCCGCCGGCUAUAAGUCACACCCAAAAUAUACCUAACAAACUUUAUAUGCAGAGCUUGUGGCAGCUCAGUCAUUGUUUUGUUUGCACCACUGAUGUCUUCACAUUCAGAAAAGAAGUUGUAUUGCAUAAAAUCAGAAAGCAGGGGGGGAAAAAGCAGUCACCUUGAAAUACAGUUAUUACUGAUAGAUAACAUGUAUACGUGCUGCUUUACAAAAUGUUACCACACAAGGCAUUUGAUUUCCAGUACUCAUGAAGCAAAAUCGCUGAGAGAAAGGUUGGUACCAGUAAAAAAUACGUAUUUCUGGACAACUGUCUGCACAUUUCACAGCACAGUGAGAAAUCUGGGUUUUGGAGCGUCCGUUCAGCUUCGCUAAACAGAGAAGCCGAUUCUCCAGCGGUGUCUAUCAUCUUCAACAAGACCCCUAAGCACUAAGUGUCUGUUUAUCCAAGUUAACAGAAAUUGCUGAAAUUUCCCAUAGACCUCACAUAAAUAUAUUUGUUUGGUCCAGUGGAUAAACAUGAAUGUUCCCAACUGCCAAACAAGAGACUGCUCAUGUUCCAGCAGAUACCGGCAUCUGGCCAGGAUAAGGAUCGGACUAUCACUAAGGCAAUAAAUUAGGCGAUAACGGGGAAUAGGGAGCUGCUGGGGCAAGUUCCUUCCUCUGGAACUAGCCUGGAGAAAUACCUUCCUUUGUAAAGGAGGCGAAUAGAGAACUUGUGUCUGGGGCCAUAAUUCUGCCAUUAGAUGCUCCUCUGACUGGUGGGAAAAACUGGGAGCACCAGGAAGAAGCUCCUCUCAUGGCUGGGCAGUCCUCACUUCAUCAGCCAGACAAGAAGGGAGGGGAAGUUCUCCCUCUGCUCUGCCUUACCUUAAUGUCUGUAGAAAAGAGUUGAGGGGAAAGUAAGUCUAAAACCACCCAUCUUAUCUGCUUUGACUUUCUCCAUUUUCUUUCUAUGCCUGACAAGCUGCAACAGUGAGUACAAGGACUACAGUAUAUUUUGACAUCCCCUGGAGGGAGCCUCAAAGUCUUGACACAACCAGUCCCACUGAUGUCCUGGGGAGGCAGCUCCACCAACCCAAACAAAGGACUUUGUGGGUUAAUUCCCAGCUGAGGAUCAGAAGGAUCCGCGGGACGCACUAAUGGCUGGAAGCAAAUCAGGAGCAGAUUAGCCUAUGCACAUACCAUACACAGGGAAGUUAAGAAGGCUGUGCUGACCAAAAGCCAGGACAGGAAGCUCUAGGCAGAAUAGAAGAGCUACCCCAUCUGGCUUCUUUUGAGUUUACUGCUUGUAUAAGUGCAUGGAUGGAAUGCAGCUACAGACUUACAAAACUGGUGUCAAUCUGGGUUUAACCAGAACCCUGCAACAAAACCCUAUCAGGAGAGGGUGAUUUGUGUUCAAACCUGAACCUCUGGUGAACUCUCUUUCUCUCUCAUUGUUUCUCUCUAGGUCCUGCCAUACAGCCUGUAUUUCCAUUAAAAGAACUUUCCCACUUAGAAGAAAAUAUAUGUCUUCACAGUGUUAUAAUUGCCUAUGAGAUGAAGGGAAAAGGGCUACGUCCACUUACUAUACAUGGGCUGAUGUGUUAGAACAAUAAAUGAAUAUGGAUUUCUUUUUUUGCAGUACAGUACGUAUAGAGUGAAUUUUUUCUUCCCCUAGUCAUGAAACCAAUGGGAUUAUUAGCAUAAGGCAAGCAAGGUUGUCCAGAGUGUUAUUUCUGUAGUGAGAACUCAGUGAUUUAGUGAGAAAAAUGUGUUCGGAAGUUUUCCAGCAACAGUCAAGCAACAAAGCAGAGCAAGAUUCCAGUUAGAUUACAAUCUUCCAGGUUCUUCAUACUUGCCAACUCUUCAAAGCCAAUAAUUCAUUCAUUUGGGGGAGUAAAUUAAGGACACUUUUAAAUUUCACUGAAACACAAUAGACUAGGAGAAAUGAGUGGAAAUUUCCUUUAAAAAAUAGUUACCAUGUCUGGUUCUUGUAUUGACAGGCAUUACAUGUCACUAUAAAUGAUUUCAUUUCCUCAAUAGCUGGUUAUACUAGUUUCCCAUUUUGUCUGUCAGCAUGCUUGCAGAAAAUCUAUGGUGUUAACAGCUUUGGUAAUGUUUUCUCAUUUGCUGACAGAGCUUUUACUGGAGACAAAAGAUAUUUGAUCAUUUAUAAACACAUGCUAAUGGUUCUGAACAACGACAUAGCUGCAAAAAUGAGUUUUAACUUGCAUGCUUCACAUGUUUCAUAAUGUUACUUGACAUUAGUUGGGCUUGCAUUAAGUGGUAAUUAUUUUGUAACACACUUCUCUCAUCAGAGAAUAGGAAACAUGCCAAGAAUUAUUAAGCAGAGACACAUAUUAACUGUACCUGUUGUCCAAACUUGAUACACUGAUUGCUUAAUACUCACUUCCACCAGGUAGUAAAAAAGUUCCCAAAAAAGUUCCCUUAUGGCUUUGUAUUCUGAGUGAAUUUUUAAUGUAAGCCUUGUCUGUUGUGGGUUGUUAAGUAAUGGUACCAUCACUAUUUCUACUGGAAACAAAGGCCACCCAUAUGGUAAAAUAUUUUCCUUGUAUGAUACCUUGUAAUAAAAGGUACUACUAUCCCAUGUAGUCAUUGACCUCACAUUUAGAUACUGUAUAUUUUUAAUAGAUUUUUCAAAAACUGUAAGUGAUUGUAUUUAAAAAACCAGUAGUGAUUUUCGACCCUGUACCACAGAUUCAGCUAUUUUUAAAUCAUUGUGAAUGACAUCCACCCCUGUGCAGAGAGGCCAGUACAAGGUCUGUGCACCACUCAAGUCUCACUUAACCCCUAUUUUGAAGUGAAUUUCUCUCUGUACGGAAUUAUCAUAAUCAUAAAGACAAAUAUCCCUCAAAAAGCACAUUUCCUCUCUCACACACAUUGAUUCCCACUUUAACCAGAAAACAACUAUCAUGAGAGUUAUAACCAAAGGAAAUACAUUUUUUAGAAACAUAUCUAAAGACAGAAUUUGCACAUCAGUAUUCAACUUACAUGGCAUGUUCAGAAAAAAGAAAAAUCAAACCAAUAAUCCUACUUACAAAGAUCCCUUAUAAUGAAUGCUAGAUUUUAGACAUACCACAGUUCCUCCCAAAUCUAUUCUUUCACAGACUAUUUGGGGAAAAGGUGAUUCAAGUUGAGUAAAUAAUUUCCAGGCUUUCAUUUGCCAGUGUCAACAUUUCCAGCAUCCGGACAUGGCAGUAUAGGAGCUGUCUCAACCAUUUCAGAAUUGCCACCUUGGCAUACUUAAGCAGAUAAGGGAAAGGACAUGUUCUGGUAAUUCCAGAGAAGGCCAGUUGACAAGUUACCCAACAGCAGUGGAAAUGAUUCCACCCCUAGCAACUGAGCAAAUCACACAUGAAGUAUCUCCAAGCAAACUGAAUAAAGGUCAUAGCCCCAGCAAUCAGGAUGACGGACCACUUUCAAUUUAUAUAUUUUUAAUAUAAUGGAGAAAUGGAGCAUAAUAUCCCUAUCACAACAUACAUCAAACAGUACACUAAUUUCGAAUCCAGUGUUUUUAGGGAACAGUCAAUUGAAUGCUCUCCAAAUAUAGGGAUUGACCAUAGUUCACUAUGGUCCACCCAAACUGAUUCAUAAGCCUUGGGCAGAAAGCACACUUCUCCAUCAGAUCACACACCCAACUACAGUGACCUAACGUAGUUGGAAACUUUUCUGUCCUGACUUGUCUUCCCAUCUUAAUCAGCACCCAUCAAAGUCAAUAAGAAUUGGAUCAGGCCUGAAGUUAGUCCUGGCUCCUUAAUGGACUAGCCAAUACCACAUUGAGCUUUGUACAUUUUAGUUUAGGAAACUGAAUUUUUUAAA